rnacentral:lncRNA from 1 species
AGAAGGCAAUGCACAAUACACUUGACUAAAAAAAAAAAAGAUAAUGCAGGGCACACAUUUUCUUUGGACUCUUGCUCUCCAAUUGAGAUCCCCAAAAAACACUCUAUAAAAGAUGCACACAAGCCUUCAUUAAAGAGGCGGAGAGGAGAACAGAUUUAAAAGCUAGCUUUGUUCCUCCAUGAAACCCAGCGAAAAAAUUCACUAAAACGGUUCUUAAAACCAGCAAAACACCAGCUCAUAACUAAGUUACCUUGCACUAGAGUUCCGUCCGUUGAGUUUGCCACCGUCGUUGGAGUCUCGGUCAUGAUUCUGGGAUGAUUUAAUGCUCAUCGGCUCUGUGUUGAAGCUUUUCUCUGUUGCUAUACAGUUUGCCUUGGAGAUAAUUUUAUCACAAGGUCCAUCUUUUAUCUAUUGUUUUUAUAUUAGUUUCAUGCUUUAUUAUCAUUUUGUGAAUGUUUUAUGACCAGCUUUGACAUUAAUUUCAUUGCUUUGUUCUCUAUCUAAUUUAGUUUGUUUCACUGGUAUGGAAGUCAUGAAAAGUUAGUACAUUUGUUUUCCUUUCGUAAUCAAAAUCCAAAGUUAUAAGAUUAUGGGGAUUAUUAGAUAGAGUUAGAAAAGUUAGUUAAAUGUUUAGAUAUAUUCUGUUAGUAUUACCACACGAUUUUUCACGGGCCUUACAUAGUUAUCAAAAUUAUUGUCUUAUUUGUUAGACUAGUAUGAAAUUUUUAGUUUUAAUGUACUACUAAAAUUACAUAGUAUGAAUGACUCUCUUAAUAUUAAUAAUGGUUGAGUCAUACUAUUUCAUCCACAAGUGAUUUCCAUAAUCUUUAGCCUUAAAAUAAUCUCAAAAUUAGUUUUAAAAAAAAUUCUUAAUAAUCGUUAGUAUGCUUUAGGCGCGUAUUAAUAAAUAAAUUAUCAUGUUUAUGUACACGUUCGCGUGAUACACUUAUGACUUCCAAAAUUAAAAUCGAAGUAAGCGUUCGGCAACUUUGGGCAAAACAAUCUUAAUAAAAGUGUUAUUAAUUGUGUACACACACGCGUGACAUGAUUUUUAAUGCGCCGAAUAAAAUGGGUACACAUACGCGUGACUCGUUUCAAGAUAAUUCCGUAAUGCCUUAAUCAAGCAAUAAAAGCAGACAUAGGAAAAACAUAAAAAUCAUAAAAAUCACAAUUUAUCCAAAAUUAUUUUAAGCUAAAUGUAGUCAAUAAAUCGAUCGUGCUAGAACCACGGGACUCGGGAAUGCCUCACACCUUCUCCCCGGUCAACAGAAUUUCUUACCCGAACUUUGUUUCUGCGGACCGAUAAAAAUAGAGUCAAACCUUCCUUUGAAAAAAAGGGGCGUGACAGCUCUGGCGACUCUACUAGGGACUUUAAGAAUUCGAGCUUGUACAUUGAUUUUUUUUGGAUUUAUUAAUUUUUGUAUAUAUUGUGAUGUUAUUUGGGGCUAAUGUGCUACUUGUGUUUUUUACCGCUUUGAUAUUGUUGAAUUGUACAUUAUAAAUUGUCUUCUCACGCACCCCUUCUGAGUCUUCUUGAAAUUAAAAUUGGGAAUUUGCUUGGCAUAGCCCGCUUUCUUUGAGAUAGCCGAGGUGCUUGCCACCUAGUGAAUAAUUUUUAGUCACACAUGUUCAGGCGGGGAGCACCACCAGUUAAGCCAAAAAGCAAUGCUACUGGUACGUUGAUCCUCCUUGGCUCGAGUUGUCCGCUCGAGUAAGCCAGUCUAGAUACCUCAUCCAUCAGGAUUUAAACCUAGAUGAACAAACCUCAUGUUGUAUAUCCCUAGUAGGUUCGUUUUAUUCGCAUCAUAAGCAUUUGACUUAGCGAAACUCGGCACAAGAGUCGGGUCCGUAUAAGACAUGUAUCCUCUUUGAGACCAUCAUGACCACUUAUGUGCUACUUGCUACAUUAUUUGGAAGGCUUGCUUACAUUAUUGACCGGCUUUAGAAAAUUAGUUGAGCGAAGAAAAAAAAACCGUUCCCCCGUUUUUGGUACAAAUAAUCCGUUUUUCCAUGUCUUUCACCGAACAAGAACUACAAGCGACAUGAUUCCCCUAUAAUCUGGGAUAUGUAGGUUGUCCAAAAUCAAGACUCAGUUGCACUCUUUUCACUUUUAUUUCUUCCCUUUUAAAUAAUGAUAUAGUAAAAAAUUAGUCACAUAACUCACCUUUUUUUUGUCUUAAAACUCUUCAUAUUUCCAAACAAAUAGGGCAUGCUUUGACCAUGUUUCAAUUUUCAUAUUUUUUUAGUAUAAAUAUUUUAAAGUUUAAUUUAUAUAUUUUAGUCUUUAUUUCACCUUUGUAGAUUUUAUUUAAGAAAAUUAAAAAUCACAAAAGGAGUUGUUUUUAAGAAGUACAUAUUUAGUUUUUGUUUAUAAAACAAAUCCACAAAAAAAAAUCUUUUAAACUUUGUAGUGUUAAAUUAGAUAUUGGUUUUGUUAUUCUUCAUUAGUGACUUUAUUUAUACGUUCUUGAUUUUAAAAUAUAUAACUAGUAUUUUUUUACUUUAUCCUAUUAAAAGAAAUAAUUGAAGCAAGAGCCAUUAAAAUUUUAUGCGACAAGAUCUUUUCAUAUCUUCUCUUUAACCAACCUCACAUUUUGACUAAAAAGAAGACUAUGCACAAUAAACCUUUUGACUAAAAAAAAAGAGAUAAUGCACGGCACACAUUUUCUUUGGACUCUUGCUCUCCAAUUCAGAUCCCCAUAAAACACUCUAUAAAAAAUGCACAUAAGCCUUCAUUAAAGAGGCGGAGGGGAGAAUAACUUUAAAACCCAGCUUUGUUCCUCCAUGAAACCCAGCGGAAAAAUUCACUAAACCAGUUCUUAAAACCAACAAAACACCAGCUCAUAACUAAGUGACGUUGCACUAUAGUUCCCUCCGUCGAGUUUGCCACCGUCCUUGGAGUCUCGGUCAUGGUUCUGUGAUGAUUCAAUGCUCAUCGGCUCUGUGUUGAAGCUUUUCUUUGUUGCUAUACAGUUUGCCUUGGAGAUAAUUUUAUCACAAGGUCCAUUUUUUAUUUAUUGUUUUUAUAUUAGUUUCAUGCUCUAUUAUCAUUUUGUGAAUGUUUUAUGACCAGCUUUGACAUUGAUUUCAUUGCUUUGUUCUCUAACUGAUUUGGUUUGUUUCAUUGGUAUGGAAGUCAUGAAAAGUUAGUAUAUUUGUUUUCCUUUCGUAAUGAAAAUUCAAAGUUAUAAGAUUAUGGGGAUUAUUAGAUAGAGUUAGAAAAGUUAAUUAAAUGUUUAGAUAUAUUCUGUUAGUAUCACCACACGAUUUUUUCACGGGCCUUACAUAGUUAUCAAAAUUAUUAUCUUAUUUGUUAGCCUAGUAGUGAAACUUUUAGUUUUAAUGUACUACUGAAAAUUACAUAGUAUGAAUGACUCUCUUAAUAUUAAUAAUAGCUGAAUCAUACUAUUUUAUCCACAAAGUGAUUUCCAUAAUCUUUAGCCUUACAAUAAUCUCAAAAUUAGUUUUAAAAAAAAAUUCUUAAUAAUCGUCAGUAUGCUUUAGGCGCGUAUUAAUAAAUAAAUUAUCGUGAUUAUGUACACGUUCGCGUGACACAAUUAUGACUUUCAAAAUUAAAAAUCGAAGUAAGCGUUCGGCGACUUUGGGCAAAACAAUCUUAAUAAAAGUGUUAUUAAUUGUGUACAUGCACGCGUGGCAUGAUUUUUAAUGCGCCGAAUAAAAUGGGUACACAUACGCAUGACUCGUUUCAAGAUAAUUCCGUAACGCCUUAAUCAAGCAAUAAAAGCGGACAUAGAAAAAACAUAAAAAACAUAAAAAUAACAAUUUAUCCAAAAUUAUUUUAAGCCAAAUGUAGUCAAUAAAGCGACAGUGCUAGAACCACGAGACUCGGGAAUGCCUCACACCUUUUUCCCGGUCAACAGAAUUCGUUACCUGAACUUUGUUUCCGCGGAUCGAUAAAAAUAGAGUCAAACCUUCUUUUGACUAGGGAUUCAAAUAAAGGGUGACUUGGAACACCGAAAAAUCAAUUCCAAGUGGCGACUCUAUAAAUAAAUAAUCUAUACUUUAAUUUGUCACUUCAAUUGAAAAAACUCUUUAACCCUCAAUCCACAACAUAUAAUAUUUACAUUUAUCUUUGGAGGGGUAAAAAAGGGGUGUGACAAUAUCCAACUCGACCCGCCCGUUUUCCACCCCUAUCCCCAACCCGUUGGUCUAAUAAUUUUUCACACAAAGAAUAUUUACUUCACCUAAAAUUGACAUCAAAUUCAAUGGUAAAAGAUGAACAAAUAACUGGAUUUCCUCGAGAAAAACAGCCGUCGCUUCAAUUUUCCAAAGUAAACGUAUUAAACAGAAGAAGAAAAUGUAGUAUUAAAAAGAAAAAGAACUUUGAAAAACAAAAUUUUAAACAUAAAUUUUUUUUAAAAAAAAACACUAGUAGUGAUUCUUCGUUCGAGGAAUCGGUUUUAUACAAAUUUUGUUUUCGGUAUUAACUUAUGCACUAGUUAUUUGUCGUUUAAUAUGAAAACCCAAACAUUUGUAUUCACUUAUACUCCGUUCGCUCACUUUUACUUAUCCAAUAUUGACUUUGCAUAUCUUUUGAAAAAUAAUAAAUAAAGUAAAUAAUUUACUAUAAUACCCAUAUUAAUUGGUGUAUAGCCUUAAUAGAUUUGAAAAAUAAUUUAGAAUUAGUAAUUAAUGCUAAGGGCAAAACAGAAAAAAUAAAUUAUUUUUCUCUUAAUAUGCAAAAAGUAACAAGUAAAAAUAAAAUUUAUUUUUAGAAUACUUGACAACUAAAAGUGGACGGAGGAAGUGUUUGGAUAUAUGCGUUAUAUUAUGCAACAAGAUAGAAUAUGCUGCUAAUAUUACAAAAUGGAUACAAGUAUCUAAAAAUUACAACCAAAAUGCAUAGAAUUCCUACCCUUUGUAUUCACUUAAUGUAGUGCGGUAAUAAUUUACUCGCGCUCGAUGUUUAUAUCAAAUUGAUGACAAUAACGACAAUAAUAAAUUCAGUGCAAUUUCGCACGUGAGAUCUGGGGAGAGUAAUAUAUACGCAGACCUUACCCUUACCUUCUAAAAAAAAGAGGUUGUUUCCAGUAGACCCUCGGCUCAAGAACAGUGAAAAAGGGCGCAAUAAACAAACAAUAACAACGGCAAGAAAAUAAGAUAACGGAAAUAAGUAGCACAUCAUGUAAUAGCGAAAAAACUAGGAAUACAAGCUAUAAGAGAAGUGCGAAAACUACCGACAAUAAUGCCAUAUUGUCUAAUCAACAAGAAACUCGUAAUAAGAGAAUACAAGACUAAUACUACUAGUACGGCUAGAAGAGACUCUCAACUACCUAUCACCCACAACCCUAAUCCUCGACCUCCACACCUCUCUAUCGAGGGUCAUAUCCUCGAUAAGCUGAAGUAGUGUCAUGUUGUGACGAUCCGGCCAGUCGUCUCAUGAGUUACUGCUCUGUUUUCCCCAUUUCUACUUUUUUAUGCUUUAUUUAUCCGUGUUAUGUGAUCGGGUUGAUUGGAUAGAGUUCGGAAAUGAUUUGGUAAGAUUUGAGACACUUAGUCUCUUUAGAGUGAGUUUAAGUUAGAAAAGUCAACCGGAUGUUGACUUGUGUGUUAGAGGGCUCAGAUGUGAGUUCUGAUAGUUCGGUUAGCUUCGGGAGGUAAUUUGGGACUUAGGAGCGUGAUCGGAAUGAGUUUUGGAGGUUCGGAGUAGAUUUAGGCUUGAAUUGGCGAAAUCGAAUUUUUGGCUAUUUCCAAUUGAUAUGUGAGAUUUUGAUAUAGGGGUCGGAAUAGAAUUUCAAGAGUUGCAGUAGUUCCGUUGUGUCAUUUGAGAAGUGUGUGCAAAAUUUCAAGACAUUCGGACGUGGUUUGGUCGGGUUUCAGAUCAAAAGCGGAAUUUAGAAGUUUUUGGAAACUUAGGCUUGAAUCCGAUGUGUUUUGGUCGAUUUGAUUUUGUUUGAGGUGAUUUGAAGAUUGGUACAAGUUUGAACAAGGUUUUGGGAUAUGUUAGUGCCUUUGGUUGAGGUCCCGGGGGGUCUCGGGUGAGUUUCGGGUGAUCAAUCGGGCCAUUCCAUGAAGUGGAACAUGCAGAAAAUUGCAGGUCAGUGCUACAAAAAAAUGACCUUCGCGUUCGCGAAGGGUCAGUGAGGAAGCUGGAAAUUUAGCCUUCGCAUUCGCGAGGGAGGCUCCUCGAUCGCGAAGGGAUGGGCAUCUGUGCAUCGCGUUUGCGGGGGGGUGUUGUCGCGUUCGCAUAAAGCAAAAGGGCAGCUGAGCUUCUGUGGAUUUUAUUUAUCGCGUUCGCGAGAGGCGGAACGCGAUCGCGAAGGUUGGUAUGAGCAAAGCAUCGUGUUCGCGAUCGGGAUGUCGCGAUCGCGAAAGAGGAAUAUUGGUCAAAGUUAAUUUUUGCUUCGCGAACACGAGGCUUUGACCGCGUUCGCGAAGAAGGAUUUCAGGCCUGGGCAGAAGGUUUAAAAGGUCGUCUUGUCCGCGAAUGUGGGGUUUAUUUCUUCCAUUGUUGGUCGUUUUUGGAGCUUUUUGAAGGGGAUUGAAGAGGGAUUCAAGAGGAAUCACUUAGAGGUAAGAAUUUUGGACUUAAAACUCGAUUCUAAUGUGAAAUCUACCUAGUAAAUCAUAGAAUCUAGGCCAAAAAUUGAAGAAUUAGGGCUUGAGAUUAAGAGACUUUAAAAUGAGAAUUUGAAGGGUCAUUUGGACUCCGAUUUCAGUGUUCUUGGUAUGUAUGGACUCGUGGGAGGAUAAGGAUUCCGUUGAUGAGAUUUUUAUCGAGUGUCGAGACGUGGGCCUGGGGGUCGGGUUUGGCCAAUUUUGGGAUUUUUGGUAUUAUUGGAUUGUUUUCGCUUGGGCUUCGUUCACUUAGCAUAUUUUGACGUUGUGAUUCUGAUUUUGGGUAGAUUCGACGCGAGUGGAGGCCUAUUCGAAGGUCAAAGGCGUCGCGAAGUAGUAUUUUCACCGGUUUGAGGUAAGUAACCAUUGUAAAUCUGGAACUGAGGGUACAAAACCCCGGUAUUNNNNNNNNNNNNNNNNNNNNNNNNNGAUAAAUGCGGUGACAGACAUGCUAGGUGACGAGCGUAUGGGCAUGCAUUGAUAGGGAUUGUGGCUUGGUCCAUCUCGUAGCGACUAUUGAGCUGCGUAUUUGAUUUGAAACCUUAUGAUAUUCCGUACUUUAGUCAUUUAUACUGUAUUAUAGGCUGUAUGUCAUGUUUGGGGCCUUGUGCCGACCUGUUGAUACCCUUAGGGACAGUUUUACUAUUUUUCCUCACUUUAUUUGUUGAAAGCAUAUCCUCAGUCAUGUUUUACUUGUUUAAAAUUGGCUUUAUCACUCCACUUCUAAUUGUGAAGACUGUUUGGGCUGAGUUCCCUAAUUUCUAUUGUUGUGCCCGAGAGACUGUAAGGUUAAUGACUGAGAGAGGUUGAAAACCUAAUAGUGAGGAUAUUAUAUGUAUAUAUUAUGGAUCGAGCUGCACGCCGCAAUGAUAUAUAUAUUGGAUCGGGUUGUGCACCACAGUGAUAUGACGCUUGGGCUGUAGGAGCCCCUCCGGAGUCUGUACACCCCCAGUGAGCGUAGUCGACUAUAAAUUACGGAUCGGGCUGCACGCCGCAGCGGUUACUAUGAUUGUUAUUGCUACGAGAUAUUAAUGAGCUUGAGUGCUGAGAGUGAGUAUUGAGGGACGAGAGUUGAGUCACGAGUUAUCGAGAGGCGUCCCGAGGGGCCAUAUUCUGAGUGAUACCUUGCCCGAGGAGCCCAUUUAUGAUAUUUUCACUGAUUUCACUCUUCUUUUGAAAUAAGCCUUUGUUGUACAAAAUUGCUAAGUAUAUGAUUUCAAGUAUUUAAACUGAAAUUGAUGAUUUUUCGACGAAAACUGGUUUUAAACUGUGGAAUUUGAUAUGUUAUUCUGUUGUCUAUUCAUUCAUAUGAUUUUUUAACUGCUCGUCAUUGCUUUCAAACCUUAUUUACUUUAGUUACUUACUAAGUUGGCGUACUCAUGUUACUCCCUACACCUUGUGUACAGAUCCAGGUGCUCGAGUGGUAGAGUGAGGGUCCUCAUCUGAUCCAGAGGUUGCCGGAGAUUUCAAGAUAGCUGCAUGGCGUCCGUAACCCUGUUUCUCCUUCUUAUCUUGUUCUUUUCCGCAUUUUCUAGACUUAUGUUGUAUCAGACAGCCAGUUAAAUAGUAGAGGCUCUAGACUCGUGACACCAGAUAUUUGGGCUAUGUAGUUCAUGCUUAUUUGACUCCCGCUUAUAUUUUGUUGUUUUUAAACACUUAUUAUGAAAAUUUGGUAUUUAAACCAGCUUUAGAAAAUGGUUUUAUAAAAGGAAUUUGUUGUAGUUAAUGGUUUGGGUUAGCUUGCCUAGUAAUGUGAUAGGCGCCAUCACAACCGAGUAUUUGGAGUCGUGGCAAGUUGGUAUUAGAGCCUACGUUACAUAGGUCUCGCGAGUCAUAAGCCGAUUUAGUAGUCUCGUGGAUCGGUACAGAGACGUCUGUAUUUAUCCUUGAGAGGCUGUAGAACCUUUAGGAAAACUUCAUAUUCUUGAAAUUCUUGUCGUGCGAAUUUGUUGAUCCGAGUACUAAACUUCUAUUAUUCCAUUCUCUCACAGAUUGUGAGGACACGCGCUACCAGGCAGGAUAGACGACCGCCAGAACCACCAACUGGGUCCACUAGAGGCCGUGGACGCGGUCGAGGCCGUGGUAGGGGCAGAGCAGCUAGGGCAGCACCUGCAGAUCCACCAGCUGCCCUAGUUCAAGAUCAGGUCCUAAUUGUGGAUGCUACAACAGCACCAGCUAUGCCCAUUGUGAUUUCAGGCCUUCAGGAGGCUUUAGCUCAGAUCUUAUUAGUGUGUACCGGUUUGGCUCAAGUGGUUUCAGUUACUACGGCCGCAACUACUUCUCAGGCCGGGGGAGGCACCCAGACUCCCGUUGCUCGCACACCUGAGUAGGUUGUGUAGGGACUCCAGACACCGGGGGCACCUCUAGCCCAGUCGGUUGCACCAGCUUAGGAGUUUGUGGUACCAGUUAUGCCAGACGACGAGCAACGUAGAUUAGAAAGCUUUAGUAAACUCAAGCCUCCGACUUUUAGCGAUGCAGAGGGCGAGAAUGCCCAGGGGUUCUUGGAUAAGUGCCAGAGGAUGCUUCGUACAACGGGUAUUCUAGAGACCAGUGGUGUGGCUUUUACCACAUUUUAGUUUUUUGGGGCUACCUUCACUUGGUGGGAGGCGUAUGAGAGGCGUAGGCCUGUCGGUGCAAUGCCCCUUACCUGGCAGCAGUUCUCUGUUCUCUUUCUGGAUAAGUAUGUGCCAUAGUCUUGCCGAGAGGAGCUACACAGGCAGUUCGAGCAGUUGCAUUAGGGAGAGAUGACUGUGACAUAGUAUGAGAUACGGUUCUUUGAGUUAUCUCGUCAUGCGAUCUGGUUGGUUCCGACAGAUAGAGAGAGGAUUAUGAGGUUUGUUGAUGGUCUCACAUAUCAGCUUCGGAUUCUCAUGACUAGGGAAGGGUGACAGGUGCUACUUUCGAGGAGGUUGUUGACAUCACCCGUGAGAUUGAGUCGGUUCGCUGCCAUGAGCGAGAGGAGAGGAAGGACAAGGUUCCUCGGGGAUUUGGUAGCUUUAGUAGUGCUCCUUCGAGGGGUCAGUUCCAACAGGGCAGAGGCCGUCCAUUUAGACAGGCUCAUUCAGCUCGCCCAAUUUAUCGUGGGGCAUCAUCAGGUCAUGGUUCUCAUAGUUCUCAUUAGGGCCACGCAUCACUCAGUGCCCUCCAAACCCAGAGUUCAUCUCGUGCUCCAUCAGUGCAGGGUUCUUCCAUGCCAGGUCCUUCUACUGGUCAUUCCAGUGCCAGGGGUUCCCUUCAGUCCCCAUCUCCAACACCGGGGAGUUGUUAUGAGUGUGGAGAGUUUAGGCAUAUGAGGAGGCAAGGUCCUCGUCUUCAUGAUGGUCAGUCUCAGCAGAGGGGUCAGCCCUCGACUUCUGCUCUAGUUACUUCACCACCCGCCCAGCCAACUAGAGGCGGAGGUCCAGUCAGCCUGGGGUUACCCUAGAGGGGGAGGUCGAUCAGGUGGUGGUCAGGCUCGUUUCUAUGCCCUCCUAGGUAGACCAGAUGCUAUUGUUGCUUCAGAUGCCGUGAUUUCAGGCAUUGUUUCAGUCUGCCACAGAGAUGCCUCUGUAUUAUUUGAUCCCGGUUUCACCUUUUCUUAUGUGUCAUCAUACUUUGCUCGUUAUCUGGAUAUGCCCCGUGAGUCUCUUGUUUCACCUGUUCAUGGAUCUACUCUAGUGGGCGAUACUGUUAUUGUAGACCGUGUGUACCAGUCGUGUGUGGUGACUAUUAAGGGUCUGGAAACCCAAGUGGAUCUUUUAUUAUUGUGUAUGGUGGAUUUCGAUAUCAUUUUGGGCAUGGACUGGUUAUUUCCGUGUCGUGCUAUUCUGGAUUGUCAUGUUAAGACAAUCACAUUGGCUAUACCGGAUGUGCUACAGAUUGAGUGACGAGAUUUGACUGAUUAUGUUCCCAGUAGAGUGAUCUCAUUCUUGAAGGCUCAGCGUAUGGUUGGUAAUGGAUGUCUUUUGUAUCUAGCCUUCGUGAUGGAUGUCGGUGUUGAGACUCCUAGUAUUGAUUCUGUUCCAGUUUUAAGGGAUUUUUCCGAUGUGUUUCCUGCAGACCUACCGGGCAUGCCACCGGACAGGGACAUUAAUUUUGGUAUUAACCUGGUGCCGGGCACUUAACCCAUUUCUAUUCCACCGUAUUGUAUGGCACCAGUGGAGUUGAAGGAAUUAAAAGAACAGCUUCAGGAACUCCUCGAUAAGGGGUUCAUUCGGCCUAGUGUGUCACCUUUGGGUGCACCGGUUCUAUUUGUGAAGAAGAGGGAUGGCACUAUGAGAAUGUGCAUUGAUUAUAGACAAUUGAACAAAGUAACAAUUAAGAACAAAUAUCCUUUGCCUCGUAUUGAUGAUUUAUUCGACCAGCUUCAGGGAGUAAGAGUGUUCUCCAAGAUUGAUCUUCGUUCAGGUUAUCACCAGUUGAAGAUUAGGGACUCGGAUAUUCUUAAGAUAGCUUUCAGGACCUGAUAUGGUCAUUAUGAGUUCUUGGUGAUGUCAUUUGGGCUGACCAAUGCCCCAUCAGCAUUCAUGCAUUUGAUGAACAACAUGUUCCGGCCUUAUCUCAAUUCGUUUGUCAUAGUCUUUAUUGAUGAUAUUCUAGUGUAUUUGCGUAGUCAGGAGGAGCAAGCGGAGCAUUUGAGAGUUGUGUUGCAGAGAUUGAGAGAGGAGAAACUUUAUGCAAAAUUCGCCAAGUGUCAGUUUUGGCUCAGUUCAGUGGCUUUCUUGGGGCACGUGGUGUCCAGCGAGGGCAUCCAGGUUGGUCCGAAGAAGAUAGAGGUAGUUUAGAGUUGGCCCAGACAGUCCUCAGCCACAGAGAUUCGCAGCUUCCUUGGUUUGGCAGGCUAUUAUCGCCAGUUUGUUUAGGAAUUCUCAUCUAUCGCAUCGCCCUUGACCAAGUUGACUCAGAAGGGUGCUUCAUUUGUAUGGUCGGACAAGUGUGAGGAGAGCUUCCAGAAGCUCAAGACAACUUUGACCACAGCUCUAGUGUUAGUUUUGCCAUCAGCUUCAGGUUCAUAUAUCGUGUAUUGUGAUGCUUCGAGAGUUGGUAUUGGUUGUGUUUUGAUGCAGGAGGGUAGAGUUAUUGCUUGUGCUGCUCGUCAGUUGAAGCCCCAUGAGAAGAACUACCCCGUUCAUGAUUUGGAGUUGACUGCCAUAGUUCACGCGUUGAAAAUUUGGAGGCAUUACUUGUAUGGUGUGUCUUGUGAGGUGUUUACUGAUCAUCGUAGCCUCCAGCACUUGUUCAAACAGAUGGAUCUCAAUUUGGAGUAACGGAGGUGGUUGGAGUUGCUUAAGGAUUAUGAUAUCACUAUAUUCUACCAUCCGGGGAAGACCAAUGUGGUGGUCGAUGCUUUGAGCCGAAAGGCGGUGAGUAUGGGGAGUUUGGCAUAGAUUCCAGUUGGGGAGAGACCUCUUGCAGUUGAUAUUCAGGCCUUGGCCAAUCGGUUCGUGGGAUUAGAUAUUUCGGAGCCCAUCUGGGUAUUAGUUUGUGUGGUUUCUCGGUCUUUCUUAUAUAAUCGCAUUAGAGAGCGCCAAUAUGACGAUCCGCAUUUGCUUGUCCUAAAGGACAGAGUUCAGCAUGAUGAUGCCAGAGAUGUGAUCAUUGGUGAUGAUGAGGUGUUGAGGAUGUAGGGCCAGAUUUGUGUGCCCAAUAUGGAUGGGCUUCGGGAGUUGAUUCUAGAGGAGGCCCAUAACUCACGGUAUUCCAUUCAUCCGGGUGCUGCGAAGAUGUUUCAGGAUCUGAGACAACAUUAUUGGCAGAGAAGAAUGAAGAAAGACAUUUUGGGAUUUGUAGCUCGGUGUCUCAUUUGUCAGCAGGUGAAAUAUGAGCAUCAGAGACCGGGUGGCUUGCUUCAGUAAUUGGAUAUUCCUGAGUGCAAGUGAGAGAAGAUCACUAUGGACUUUGUUGUUGGACUUCCACGGACUUUGAGGAAGUUCGAUGCUAUUUGGGUGAUUGUGGAUCGGCUGACCAAGUUCACGCACUUCAUUCCUAUGAGUACUACGUAUUCUUCAGAGCGGUUGGCAGAGAUCUAUAUCCGGGAGAUUGUUCGGUUGCAUGGUAUCCCAGUUUCCAUCAUUUCAGAUAGGGGCACUCAGUUUACUUCGCAGUUUUGGAGGUCUGUGCAGCGAGAGUUGGGUAUGCAGGUUGAGUUGAGCACAACUUUUCACCCUCAGACGGACGGGCAGUCCGAGCGCACUAUCCAGAUAUUGGAGGACAUAUUACGUGCUUGUGUCAUUGAUUUCGGAGGGUCAUGCGAUUAGCUUCUACCGCUUGGAGAGUUUGCUUAUAACAACAACUACCGGUCGAGUAUUCAGAUGGCUCUGCAUGAGGCUUUGUAUGGAAGGCAGUGUAGAUCUCCGGUUGGUUGGUUCGAGCCCGGUGAGGCUAGGCUAUUAGGGAUAGACUUGGUGCAGGAUGCUUUAGAAAAUGUGAAGGUGAUUCAGGAGAGGCUUCGUAUAGUGCAGUCGAAACAAAAGAGUUAUGUUGACAGGAAAGUUCGAGAUAUGUCCUACAUGGUUGGCGAGAAGGUUCUAUUGAAGGGUUCGUCCAUGAAGGAUGUUAUGAGAUUUGGGGAAAAAGGGAAAUUGAGUUUGCGGUUCAUUGGACCUUUUGAGGUGCUUCGGAGGAUUGGGGAGGUGGCUUAUGAGUUUGCGGUUCAUUGGACCUUUUGAGGUGCUUCGGAGGAUUGGGGAGGUGGCUUAUGAGCUUGCUUUGCCACCCAGCUUGUCGAGUGUGCAUCUGGUAUUUCAUGUGUCUAUGCUCUAGAAGUAUAUUGGAAAUCUGUCUCAUAUUUUGGAUUUCAGCACGGUUCAAUUGGACGAUGAUUUAACUUAUGAUGUGGAGCCAGUAGGUAUUUUGGGUCGUCAGGUUCGAAAGUUGAGGUCAAAGGAUAUAGCUUCAGUAAAAGUGCAGUGGUGAGGUCGGCCCGUGGAGGAGGCUACUUGGGAGACCGAGCGAGAGAUGCAGAGUAGAUAUCCUCACCUGUUUGAGGCUUCAGGUAUGUUACUUGACUCGUUCGAGGACGAACGUUUGUUUAAGUUGGGGAGGAUGUGAGGACCCGGCCAGUUGUCUCAUGAGUUACCGCUCUGUUUCCCCCAUUUAUGCUUCUUUAUACUUUGUUUAUCUGUGUUAUGUGGUAUCAGAUCGGCCGGAUCAAGUUCGGAAAGGAUUUGGUAAGGUUUGAGAUACUUAGUCUCAUUAGAGUGAGUUUAAGUUGGAAAAGUCAACCGGAUGCUGACUUGUGUGUUAUAGGGCUAGGAUGUGAGUUCCGAUGGUUUGGUUAGCUUCAGGAGGUGAUUUGGGACUUAGGAGCGUGAUCGGAAUGAGUUUUGGAGGUUCGGAGUAGAUUUAGGCUUGAAUUGGCGAAAUCGGAUUUUUGGCGAUUUUCGGUUGAUAGGUGAGAUUUUGAUAUAGGGGUCGAAAUGGAAUUCUAAGAGUUGCAGUAGUUCCUUUGUGUCAUUUGAGACGUGUGUGCAAAACUUUAGGUCAUUCGGACGUGGUUUGGUAGGGUUUUAGAUCAAAAGCGGAAUUUAGAAGUUUUUGGAAACUUAGGCUUGAAUCCGAUGUGUUUUGGUCGAUUUGAUGUUGUUAGAGGUGUUUUGAAGAAUGGUACAAGUUUGAAUAAGGUUUUGGGAUAUGUUGCCUUUGGUUUAGGCCCCGGAGACCUCGGGUGAGUUUCGGGUGGUCAAUCGGGCCAUUCCAUGAAGUUGGAACCUGCAGAAAAUUGCAGGUCAGUGCUGCAGAAAAAUGACCUUCGCGUUCGCGAGAGGGUCCUCGCGUUCGCGAGAGGGUCCUCGCAUUCACGAAGGGUUAGUUGAGAAAGCUGGAAAUUUAGCCUUCGCGUUCGUGAGGAAGGUCCUCGUUUGCGAAGGGAUGGGCAUCUGUGCAUCGCGUUUGCGGGGGGGUGUUGUCGCGUUCGCAUAAAGCAAAAAGGGCAGCUGAGCUUCUGUGGAUUUUAUUUAUCGCGUUCGCGAGAGGCGGAACACGAUCGCGAAGGUUGGUAUGAGCAAAGCAUCGUGUUCGCGAUGGGGAUGUCGCGAUCGCGAAAGAGGAAGAUUGGUCAAAGUUAAUUUGUGUUUCGCGAACACGAGGCUUUGACCGCGUUCGCGAAGAAGGAUUUCANNNNNNNNNNNNNNNNNNNNNNNNNNNNNNNNNNNNNNNNNNNNNNNNNNNNNNNNNNNNNNNNNNNNNNNNNNNNNNNNNNNNNNNNNNNNNNNNNNNNNNNNNNNNNNNNNNNNNNNNNNNNNNNNNNNNNNNNNNNNNNNNNNNNNNNNNNNNNNNNNNNNNNNNNNNNNNNNNNNNNNNNNNNNNNNNNNNNNNNNNNNNNNNNNNNNNNNNNNNNNNNNNNNNNNNNNNNNNNNNNNNNNNNNNNNNNNNNNNNNNNNNNNNNNNNNNNNNNNNNNNNNNNNNNNNNNNNNNNNNNNNNNNNNNNNNNNNNNNNNNNNNNNNNNNNNNNNNNNNNNNNNNNNNNNNNNNNNNNNNNNNNNNNNNNNNNNNNNNNNNNNNNNNNNNNNNNNNNNNNNNNNNNNNNNNNNNGGGAUUGUGGCUUGGUCCAUCCCAUAGCGACUAUUGAGCUGCGUAUUUGAUUUGAAACCUUAUGAUAUUCCGUACUUUAGUCAUUUAUACUGUAUUAUAGGCUGUAUGCCAUGUUUGAGGCCUUGUGCCGACCUGUUGAUACCCUUACGGAUAUUUUUACUGUUUUUUCCUCACUUUAUUUGUUGAAAGCAUAUCCUCAGUCAUGUUUUACCUGUUUAAAAGCUUAAAACUAGUUUUUUCACUCCACUUCUAAUUGUGAAGAUUGUUUGGGUUGAGUUCCCUAAUUUCUAUUGUUGUGCCCGAGAGGCUGUGAGGAUAAUGACUAAGAGAGGUUGAGAACCUAAUAGUGAGGAUAUUAUAUGUAUAUAUUAUAGAUCAGGCUGCACGCCACAGCGAUACUUAUAUGGAUCGGGCUGCACGCCGCAGCGAUAUAUAUAUUGGAUUGGGCUGCAAACCGCAGCGAUAUAUAUAUUGGAUCGGGCUGCACGCCGCAGUGAUAUGACGCUUGGGCUGUAGGAGCCCCCCAGGAGUCUGUACACCCCCAGUGAGCGCAGUCGACUAUAAAUUACGGAUCGGGCUGCACGCCGCAGCGAUUACUAUGAUUGUUAUUACUAUGAGAUAUUAAUGAGCCUGAGUGCUGAGAGUGAGUAUUGAGGGACGAGAGUUGAGUCACGAGUGAUUGAGAAGCUACCCAAGGGGCUAUAUUCUGAGUGAUACCUUGCCCGAGGGGCCCAAUUAUGAUAUUUUCACUGAUUUCACUCUUCUUUUAAAAUAAGCCUCUGUUGUAAGAAAUUGCUAAGUAUAUGAUUUCAAGUAUUUAAAUUGAAAUUGAUGAUUUUUUGACAAAAACUGAUUUUAAAUUGUGGAAUUUGAUCUAUUAUGUUGUUGUCUAUUCGUUCAUAUGAUUUUUUAACUGCUCGUCACUGCUUUCAGACCUUAUUUACUUUAGUUACUUACUAAGUUGGCGUACUCACAUUACUCCCUGCACCUUGUGUGCAGAUCUAGGUACCCGAGUGGCAGAGUGAGGGUCCUCAACUGAUCCAGAGGUUGCCGGAGAUUUCAAGGUAGUUGCAUGGCGUCCGUAGCCAUGUUUUCUCCUUCUUAUCUUGUUCUUUUCCACAUUUUCUAGACUUAUGUUGUAUCAGACAGCCAGUUAUGUAGUAGAGACUCUAGACUCGUGACACUAGAUAUUUGGGUUGUGUAGUUCAUGUUUAUUUGACUUCCGCUUAUAUUUUAUUAUUUUUAAACACUUAUUAUGGAAAUUUGGUAUUUAAACUAGCGUUAGAGAAUGGUUUUAUAAAAGGAAUUUGUUGUAGUUAAUGGUUUGGGUUUGCUUGCCUAGUAAUGUGAUAGGCGCCAUCACGAUCGGGUAUUUGGGGUCGUGACACAUGUCCUACCUAAUCACCUCUCGCCACUUUUUAUGCCUCCCUCUACCUAUCCUCUAACCCGCUAUGGUCAACAUCUCGCAUCUCCUCACUAGGGCAUCAAUGUCUCUACUCUUCACAUGUCCAAACCAUCUCAG